ACUUUUCUUCAAACUUUUAAUGAAAACAAAAUCCAAUCCCUCGCUCCCCUUGCUGCACCGUCCAGCCAUCAUCAACAAACAAAAUGUCCAGCUCCAAAUAUUNCUUNCAACCAUCAACAAAAGCACAAGAAGAAAAGGGUUCAAACAUGAAACACCCAUACACCAACUCAAGCCUUUUUCACUACCAAACUUAACAAGAACUUCAUUUUCAUGAUCCAAU
rnacentral:lncRNA from 1 species